rnacentral:tRNA from 1 species
GAGGGUGUAGCUCAAGUGGCAGAGCGCAUGCUUAGCAUGCACGAGGUUCUGGGUUCAAUCACCAGUACCUCCA